CGGUAAUUCCAGCUCCAAUAGCGUAUAUUAAAGUUGUUGUGGUUAAAAAGCUCGUAGUCGAACCUUGGGCCUGGCUGGCCGGUCCCCCUCACCGGGUGCACUGAUCCAGCCGGGCCUUUCCCUCUGUGGAACCCCAUGGCCUUCACUGGCUGUGCGGGGGAAACAGGACUUUUACUGUGAAAAAAUUAGAGUGCUCCAGGCAGGCCUAUGCUCGAAUACAUUAGCAUGGAAUAAUAGAAUAGGACGUGUGGUUCUAUUUUGUUGGUUUCUAGGACCGCCGUAAUGAUUAAUAGGGACAGUCGGGGGCAUCAGUAUUCAGUUGUCAGAGGUGAAAUUCUUGGAUCUACUGAAGACUAACUACUGCGAAAGCAUUUGCCAAGGAUGUUUUCAUUGAUAAGGAACGAAAGUUAGGGGAUCGAAGACGAUCAGAUACCGUCGUAGUCUUAACUAUAAACUAUGCCGACUAGGGAUCGGACGAUGUUAUUAUUUGACGCGUUCGGCACCUUUCGAGAAAUCAAAGUGCUUGGGCUCCAGGGGGAGUAUGGUCGCAAGGCUGAAACUUAAAGAAAUUGACGGAAGGGCACCACCAGGGGUGGAACCUGCGGCUUAAUUUGACUCAACACGGGGAAACUCACCAGGUCCAGACACAGUGAGGAUUGACAGAUUGAGAGCUCUUUCUUGAUUCUGUGGGUGGUGGUGCAUGGCCGUUCUUAGUUGGUGGAGUGAUUUGUCUGCUUAAUUGCGAUAACGAACGAGACCUUAACCUGCUAAAUAGCCCGUACUGCUCUGGCAGUUCGCUGGCUUCUUAGAGGGACUAUCGGCUCAAGCCGAUGGAAGUUUGAGGCAAUAACAGGUCUGUGAUGCCCUUAGAUGUCCUGGGCCGCACGCGCGUUGCACUGACAGAGUCAGCGAGUACCUC
rnacentral:rRNA from 1 species